rnacentral:sRNA from 1 species
CCCAGGGCUGAAUGCAGCACUGUUUAUAACUAAUUGGCCACAACCAGUUACAGAUUUCUUUGUUCUUUCUCCACUCCCACUGCUUCACUUGACUCGCCUUAA